GACAGGCCAGACUUGAAAUUCCAGCACUUGAGCGAAAAAAAUAACAAAAAUAACAAGACAGACCCAAAACCAAAACCAAAACCAACGGCGCUUCACUUUCCCUCGACACAGACCCAAAACCGGAACCCUCACUCUCGACAGCUCCUCACUCUGUCGACAAAACCUAAAGCUAAAACCUCACUCUCCCAAACCCUCACUCUUCGCUCGCGCCUCACUCGCCUAUUACUCUUUGCUGAAUUCGAAAUCCCCAAUUUUCUAGGGUUUCAGUUUUCAAUCGCAACAGGAAAUUGUUGAAGUGGAAGGCAUCAUGGAAGAGAAUGUUCUCCCUCGCCAUCUUCGAUACCAGCCCCUCAAGGCCAUCACCAUAAUCCAAGCGGUCAUCAUCUUCUCCGUCGAUCUGAGGGCAUGCCCGACAACCUCUACUACAGCGACAACGAGUACAUCGACCAAAUAGAGAAUCUCUCUCGCUUACGUGUCUCAGUGGGGCAACUCAAGGAGCCGGAGUAGUCCACCGCCAAAGCCACCACUUGGUUGAGGUGCACGGCCUAGAACCUUGAUCUCGAUCUCCUAUUCCGAUAAGGCUGAGAGAUUGUUGGCUGAAGCAGCGGGUAUGGAUCGCAGCGGGUUAUGUUUCCGGAAGCGUUUCUGGGGAGGGUAUCCACGUGGCUCCAAUUUCAGGGUUGCGAUUGGGAACAAAACUGCCAAGGGGAAAAAAGAGUUCCGAAUUGAGAGGUGGGGAAGGUUGAGAGGAAGUGGAUUCAGGGCAUGGAAGUGAUGGCAGGGGCAUCGUGGGUUCGGAUGGGAAACGGGUCUUGAUCGGCGCGGGGACUCGUGCGCUAUUUUACCCGACUCUGCUUUACAAUGUCAUCAGGAAUAAGCUUCAAGCUAAGUGGUGAGGUGCCUCACUUAAAGGAGGUCGGAGUUCGUGGAGUCAUCACACUUAAUGAGCCAUAUGAGACUGAUUCCAACAUCUCUUUAUCAGUGACGGUUUUGCCCUCGCUACUUGCCUCAACUACAGUCUUGCCAUUGUUUUACGAAUAAGGGCGAUGGAGGCUUCGAGAGAGACUGAUCGAGAGAGAGAGAGACAGCAACUCUGAGACAAAGGAAAACACCCAAAUACCCAAAUCGUUGAUCCCGAUUGUGCCACUACUGAUUCUUCCGUGUCUUCUACUUUUGCAGUCAUCAUCUGCUCGGCGUUGAAUUCUUCUAUCUCUACAGUCGUGUAACCAAGAUUGAGAGAGUGGGUUCUUUGUUCUGCGUUUGUUUUCGAUUGCCUGCCUUUGAUUUGUGAAUUUGGAUUUGGUUCCGUCUUUUUUGCUUAUCAUCUUCCCUGAUUAUGAUCCUGCUUUUCAUGCAAACAGUUUUGUGAUCGGUGGGUUAUAGUUUGAAAAAUGGUGAGAGCAUUUCUCAGUUCGUGUAGAGGGGGUGGGUUAUUCGGUUUUGUUCUGGUGGAGAGGAAGACGAAUUUGGGUUAGUGGUUUAAGUCUGCAAUGGUACCCUGAAGGAAAACAGGAGAGAAAGAGCCCACAGCACAGAAAGCUUUGUCUUGGUGAGCUUAACAAACCACCACUUCCAGUUUGUGCUAUCUCUACAGCUUUAAGCAACAAUGAAAUCUAUACUCAUCAAUGAGAUAGCAAUUCCAGCUCCAGCAUUUUGUGCAGCUGCAAUGACUGCUGGUAACUAAUAGUUUGGAUCAACUCCAACAUUUUGUCAACCACAAUUGGAGCAGCCACUUUUUUACACCUGCUCCAGCAACAACUUUUGCUACGCUGGCUCAGAACAAAACCUUUUGGAAAGUUACAACUGAAGCUGCUAAACCUGUUGUCCAACUAGCAUUUCUAAACCAACUUCAGUGACAACUUUGUUAACCUAUUUUUGUAAUACACUUUUGUUAGGUUAACGUUUUUGUAUAAAAAAAAAAUCUUUCACUGUUUCAAUAGAAUGCAAUAAUUUUCCUUUUGUAUUUUAUCAUUAUCAUUUAUUUACAAACACAAUUCCGCAGCAAAGCGCGGGUAUAAUUUCUAGUAAAUAUACGGUUGCUGCUUUAAUGUCAUUGAAUUGACAAUCAUAUCAACCUCAUAUGUCGUUAACUUGUGGAUUAUGAACUAGAGUACGUAUGCAGCUUCGUCAAUAUAUUUUUGUACAACAUUAGAUGCUAAAUGAAUUUGGUUGUAUCAUGCUGAUUUUGUUGUUGACUGCUUGCAGUUGUACAUAGCACCUAUAUAUUCAUGUUGCAGGUUUCAUAGCUAUGUAUGCUACACUUGCCAGUAGUCGCGAUGUGGACUAUUGUUUGAUUCCAGAUUCCCCCUUUCUUUCUUUCUUAAAAGGACGAGGUGGACUUUUUGAGUUCAUUGAAAAACGACUCAGAAAAUGAACAUAUGGUUAUUAUGAUUGCUGAGGGAGCAGGACAUGAUCUUCUUUUAGAGAGCUUGUAAUCCAUGAACCAGGAAGAUGCUUUAAGAAACAAGCAACUUAAAGACAUUGGGUUAUGGAUAUCUCAGAGGAUCAGGGUAUUACUUGCAAUCCUACAGAGUUGGUGCUUGGAAACUUCCAAAGCUAGACUCAAAUGAGGCCAUGAGAGCAGCAAAGCUAGACACAAGUAAAUUUCUGGAUGUAUUUUGCUAGGAGAGUACUAUUAGAUGUACUCCUUUUGGGGAUAAAAGAUUAACUUUGCACAA